CACGCAUUGCCCUCCUCUUUAAGAACCGCCUGAGCCAAGCCUUCGCUCAACACACACGGAUCACUCUCGGCUUGGACUGGGCAGCCCGAACUUGCCACAACAGAACCGACCGGUGGGCCGGGCCAGUGUUCCACCAUCUUAUUGUCCCCACACGGGUCACAAGCCCUCGCUACAUGGGCAUAUACGGUCGAUAACUAUACACCUUAAUUACCCGUAAACUAUUAAAUCUGAUCAUAUAACUUUACUCCAAACAACAACAUAAUUCGGUAAGAAAACAUAGUUUGGAUAACAGGUUUUCAGAGUCGAAGACAAAUCAUACGAGAGUACAAGCAAAUACAAGAAAAGAAAAACAAACAGGUUUUCAGAGUCGAAGACAAAUCAUACGAGAGUACAAGCAAAUACAAGAAAAGAAAAACAAGACCAUCAUGUUUCCUAUUUCUACAACGUC
rnacentral:lncRNA from 1 species